CAAGUCGUCAGUACUGUGCUAACGGUCGAGCGGGAAGAAGAAGGAAAAGCUCUCAAAGUUCAGCGCCCAGUGUAUUAUUUGUCUGAAGUCUUGACUCCAUCCAAGCAGAGAUAUCCUCAUUAUCAGAAGCUUGUGUAUGGAAUAUACAUGACCACAAAGAAGGUUACUCAUUAUUUCUCUGACCAUUCAAUCACAGUCGUCAGCGACGCUCCACUAUCAGAGAUUUUGCACAACAGAGAUGCAACUGGUCGAGUGGCCAAAUGGGCGAUUGAACUUCUUCCCCUUGAUAUCAAGUUUGAGGCAAAGAAAGCCAUUAAGUCCCAGGCAAUAGCAGAUUUCCUCGCCGAGUGGAUCGAACAGCAGCAGCCGACUGAAGUUCACUCGGAGCAUUGGACCAUGUUUUUCGAUGGUUCUAAGAUGUUGAAUGGUUCCGGUGCUGGGGUUGUCCUGGUUUCCCCCAGAGGAGAUAAGCUCAGAUAUGUGCUCCAGAUUCACUUUGAUUCCUCCAACAAUGAGGCAGAAUAUGAG
rnacentral:rRNA from 1 species